rnacentral:rRNA from 1 species
AACGAACGCUGGCGGCAUGCCUAACACAUGCAAGUCGAACGAGACCUUCGGGUCUAGUGGCGCACGGGUGCGUAACGCGUGGGAACCUGCCCUUAGGUUCGGAAUAACUCCCCGAAAGGGGUGCUAAUACCGGAUAAUGUCUUCGGACCAAAGAUCUAUCGCCUUUGGAUGGGCCCGCGUUGGAUUAGCCAGUUGGUAGGGUAAUAGCCUACCAAGGCGACGAUGCAUAGCUGGUCUGUGAGGAUGAUCAGCCGCACUGGGACUGAGACACGGCCCAGACUCCUACGGGAGGCAGCAGUGGGGAAUAUUGGGCGAUGGGCGAAAGCCUGAUACAGCAGUGCCGCGUGAGUGAUGAAGGCCUUAGGGUUGUAAAGCUCUUUUACCUGGGAUGAUAAUGACAGUACCGGGAGAAUAAGCUCCGGCUAACUACGUG